GGAGAAAUUAUCCUUGGUGUGUUCGCUUUAUUUGGGAUGAAUCAUACAAGGACAAUUUCUUUCUG
rnacentral:pre_miRNA from 1 species